UGCAUGGCUGUCGUCAGCUCGUGUCGUGAGGAUGUGGUUAAGUCCCGCAACGAGCGCAACCCUUGCCAUUAGUUGUCAGCGAGUCAUGUCGGAUACUCUAAUGGGACUGCCGGUGACGAGCCGGAGGAAGGUGGGGAUGACGUCAAGUCAGCAUGGCCUUUAUGUCCAGGGCCACACACGUGCUACAAUGGACGGUACAGAGGGACGCAAGACCGCAAGGUGGAGCAAAUCCUCAAAACCGUUCUCAGUUCGGAUUGCAGGCUGCAAUUCGCCUGCAUGAAGCUGGAAUUGCUAGUAAUCGCAGAUCAGCUACGCUGCGGUGAAUACGUUCUCGGGCCUU
rnacentral:rRNA from 1 species